UUCUUUUACGACGGAGUCUAAGAUAUUCUUUGUCUUGUCGGUGAGUGAGUUACAGUCGGAUGACCAAGUGAAAUAUAGGGGUGCAACGAGGAUUUGGAGGCUUCUGAGACUUGAACUUAGGGUACUGGUGUAAACUUCCUCGGAGAAGUGCGCAGCAGCUAAUGAUAUUUCGGGAUUGGAGUCUGGGCCCCAGUGAGAUUCGUACUAAGCGGCCUGACUGAAGGCCGCAUGCGUUCUAGUUCCUGAGUCCCCGCGUGGGUAGGUUUUUACAGCAGGGUUUGCAGCCUUUUGUGCUGUUCCGAAGGUACUAGAGUCACCGAAAGAGACAUCCUAUUAUAUGCACGUUCACAAGGACAAUGGCGCCAUUGUUCUUCGCGUCUUCAAAGCAGCUACAAGAAGAAACCAAGAUGGAGGGGAGCCCAAAGCAUCUGAGAGAAUUGAUAAAUGAAAGAAACAUGCUUAAAACAUGACCGUUUUAAAGGUGAAUGCUGACCAGUGAGAAAACUAGAUGUGACCAUCCAGAAAAAGCAUAGACAAAAAAAUGCAGUCUUAGUACUGGGAUGUUUGAGAUGGGGUCUAUCUACAUGUCUCUAGCUGUCCCUAUCAGGACAGCAUCUGGUGUGGCCUGCAGAGUUGAUUCCUGUACUUUUUUUUUUUGUGGGCUGUAUGUAAAUGGAUUGUUUUGACAAUCCAUUCGACAGUGUUCUCUUCUGUGAAGGUCAUAGGUGAGCUGAUGACAGACACAGCUGUACAGACUGAAUGCAAUCCUGACUAUAAAGCUGCAGUUCAUCAUUAUGAGCUAUUUCCUUAUUCUGGCAGUGAUUGAAAUAAAAUGGGGAGUAUUGAAAUAAAAAACAUUCAAUUGCAAA
ensembl:processed_transcript Snhg5 small nucleolar RNA host gene 5